rnacentral:rRNA from 1 species
UACGGAGGGAGCUAGCGUUGUUCGGAAUUACUGGGCGUAAAGCGCACGUAGGCGGCUUUGUAAGUUAGAGGUGAAAGCCCGGUGCUCAACACCGGAACUGCCUUUAAGACUGCAUCGCUUGAAUCCAGGAGAGGUGAGUGGAAUUCCGAGUGUAGAGGUGAAAUUCGUAGAUAUUCGGAAGAACACCAGUGGCGAAGGCGGCUCACUGGACUGGUAUUGACGCUGAGGUGCGAAAGCGUGGGGAGCAAACAGG